rnacentral:rRNA from 1 species
CCUACGGGAGGCAGCAGUGAGGAAUAUUGGUCAAUGGGGGCAACCCUGACGCAGCAACGCCGCGUGAUUGAAGAAGGCCUUCGGGUUGUAAAGAUCUUUAAUCGGGGACGAAUUUUGACGGUACCCGAAGUAUAAGCUCCGGCUAACUACGUGCCAGCAGCCGCGGUAAUACGUAGGGACCAAGCGUUAUCCGGAUUUACUGGGUGUAAAGGGCGUGUAGGCGGGCAUGCAAGCCAGAAGUGAAAUCUGGGGGCUUAACCCACAAACUGCUAUUGGAACUGCGUGUCUUGAGUGAAGGGGAGGCAGGCGGAAUUCGCGGUGUAGCGGUGAAAUGCGUAGAUAUUGGGAAGAACACCGGUGGCGAAGGCGGCCUGCUGGACAUUAACUGACGCUGAGGCGCGAAAGCGUGGGGAGCAAACAGGAUUAGAUACCCGGGUAGUC